rnacentral:lncRNA from 1 species
UGAUGAAGCUAUGGUUCGAAUAAAGCGUCUGCCUGGUUUAUGCGUUUGCGAACAAACUAAAUAUUAACAGACUUUCUUCGUUUCUCAAAAGUUGCGCAUUCUGGCUUAAUUGCUAGAGAGUACGAAGUAGGCCGGUCUUCUCCGAAUGCUCAAGUGCGCGGCGUCAGUCUGCCGACUUAGGCUCCUUUCCUUCCGCUCUCCAGCAGCACUUCCUUUCUUCGGUCACAUGGUUUUUGAAGCAGAGGCUAGGGCAAGUACUACGAGCCCUCUGUCCCACGCAUCUCUUCUCUAUUUCUAAAAAUGUAUGGUUCACCGGUUCCACCGAAUGCUCCUAUCUCUCCACAAGAUCGUGUGAGUGUGUAGUUAUGCUUCAGAUGCUUUGCUAUAUUCAUAUUGAAUUGUAGUUUCUUUUUCUAUCUCCGAUGUACUCGCCUUGGAUCUCUGACACACGAAGAAAGACNN